rnacentral:rRNA from 1 species
UACAGAGGUCUCAAGCGUUGUUCGGAUUCAUUGGGCGUAAAGGGUGCGUAGGUGGCGCCAUAAGUCAGGUGUGAAAUCUCGGGGCUUAACUCCGAAACUGCAUUCGAUACUGCCGUGCUAGAGGACUGGAGAGGAGACUGGAAUUCAUGGUGUAGCAGUGAAAUGCGUAGAGAUCAUGAGGAAGACCAGUGGCGAAGGCGGGUCUCUGGACAGUUCCUGACACUGAGGCACGAAGGCCAGGGGAGCAAACGGG